CUGGGUGGCUUCGGCCUAAACCCCCUAACCAUUGUGAACGAUACCAGUUGCUUAGCUGGUGGCGGUGAAAACUGCAAGUACCGGCGGCACAAAACUCUUCUAAUGUCAUCUCUGAGUUACUUUUAAAUAAGUCA
rnacentral:misc_RNA from 1 species